rnacentral:rRNA from 1 species
UGCCAGCAGCCGCGGUAAGACGGAGGGCUCUAACGUUGUUCGGAUUCACUGGGCAUAAAGCGCACGUAGGCGGUUUGCUCAGUCGGAUGUGAAAGCCCCCGGCUCAACCGGGGAACUGCAUCCGAUACUGGCAGGCUAGAGGACGGCAGGGGUAAGUGGAACUCCAGGUGGAACGGUGAAAUGUGUAGAUAUCUGGAGGAACACCGGUGGCGAAAGCGGCUUACUGGGCCGUCUCUGACGCGAGUUGCGUUAGCUAGGGUAGCGAACGGGAUUAGACC